UGGCCCAUGGGGGGAUUCGAACCCACGACCUUCGCGAUAUUAGCAUGAGGUUCUAACCAACUGAGCUAAUGGACC